GCGGUGGUGGCCGAGUUGGUCUAAGGCGUCGCGUUAAGGCCGCGAUCUCUUCGGAGGCGCGGGUUCGAAUCCCGUCUACCGCA
rnacentral:tRNA from 1 species